rnacentral:lncRNA from 1 species
CUGAAAUGUUUCAAAGUGUUUCUGGAAAUCUCAUCUACUUAAGCCAGCCAUUACCUGUGUUUUGUUCUGUGUGGACUACAUUCAGCCCUGUUUCACAAGCACCCCUCUGUGACAUCACACAAGCAUCAGCUUGCAGUGACACCAGUGUUUGGGACCUAAAGGCUUCUGCUGUUCUUGAGCAGGAAGACGCGGGCCGGCACGAGCAACCGUGGACGUUCAAUGGCAGCCCAGGGCAGCAGCACCAGCAACUUUCCAGGAGCAAACUUCCAAGUGAGAAGACAGGAAACUGA